UACGAGGGGGGCAAGCGUUAUUCGGAUUUAUUGGGCGUAAAGCGUGCGUAGGCGGCUGUUUAAGUCUGGUGUUAAAGCUAGGGGCUCAACCCCUGUGGUGCAUCGGAUACUGGGCAGCUUGAGUGCGGUAGGGGAAGGUGGAAUUCCGAGUGUAGCGGUGAAAUGCGUAGAUAGUCGGGAAGAAUACCGGUGGCGAAGGCGGCUCCCUGGACCUAUACUGACGCUGAGGCGCGAAAGCGUGGGGAGCAAACAGG
rnacentral:rRNA from 1 species